ensembl:lncRNA
CUGCGGCUCAGCUGCUGGGGGUCAGGCCUGCUUAGCUCAGGUUCCAGGAGACUCCACGGAGCACUGCAAGGUGGUGGGGUGCAGGGAGCCAGGCAGCCUUGGCAGCGCACCCCAACCUCAGAGCCCCGGGGCCCUCCACCACGUGGGGCUGUGCCUCCGUGUCUGUGCUGCAGCACAGCUCCCUCCGGGAACCCGGCCUGCCAGGCAUGGGAGGAAGGCGGGCAGGAGCGCCGAGCUCCUCACAGGGUUAACCCAGCCGGGCGCACACAAAGGACGGAGGGGGCCGAGGGAUGGGGCCAGAGGGGGGAAACACCUUCCACCCUUUCUUUUGGCAUCGGGGGUACAUUUACAUUUCAGAGCACACCGAGCUACAAAUGGGGGUAGCUGGGAGCCUGUCCCUCCUUAGUUGCUGAUGAAAGCCCCUCCCGACGCCUUUGAUGCACGGGGUGCUCCCGGGAGCACGUUUCUCCCGCUGCUGCUCCCGGCGCGGUGGUUUCAGCCGGGGGAACGCGGGGGAGGGGGCGCGAGCGGCAAAACCCUGCGUGGAGUCGCCGGGCCUGGAACGGAGCAGCACCAAGCAAAACCCGGAGUGGAUCUGGGGAAGCGAAGCGGCGAUGCCUGGGCGCUGGCGCCCUGUCCCUUAACAGAAACUCCUCGCGGGCGCAGGGCCCCGAGAGGCCCACCGUUUGAGCACAGCACCCCGAGGGCUUGCCAGUGGCCCGGGUUUGCAGAUAAUCCCCCUUUCUAAGCAGCCGAACUCAUGAAUGUUGAUCUUGCAAAUCAGGCUGACACUAGCAGCUUUUGUCCACCGGGGCAUACAUCAAGGCUCGCCUUCUCCCCAGCACGUUUCCCUUCUCAUCGGAAUGCGGGUCCCAGCCUCCCGGGCUCCUGAAAGGCUCGCCCCGCCCCAAAGCGACCUGGGGUCUCCAGCAACAAUCGCCCGGCUUGUCUGCCAAGUGCCUGCCAAGCGCUCGGGGGGCCCAACUCCGAGAGUCCUGUUCGGGGCCCCAAGAGAAGCCCUUGAGAGAAAUGGCCCCGACAGGAGGAGGUCAACGGAUGACCGGCUCCCCCGAGCUUUGGAUCCUCCCGGGGGGGCCUAGGUAUUUGUCCUUAAACACACAGGCCAGCCUAGGCGGGACAAAACCAGGCUUCCAGAGAGGAAGCGAUGAAACAAUGGCAUUUAUAGGACAAGAGGACGAGAGGAGGCAAAGCCAGCCAGGAUAUAUGGAUCUGAAAUAAUGAGAUCAGACUGGGGAGGGCAGAUGUCAACUCCAUCCACAGGAGCCAUCCAGCAAAGGAGCCCUUGGCUCAAAGCAAGGCAGAUCUUUGGUUUUUAGAGUCGGUCGGUGGUAACUGUGGUGUGACAGGAUGCUCUUUUAUUAAUGCUAAUGACUUACAUUUAUAAAGUACUCUAGGCUCCAGGGAAAUAGGUGCUGACUGCAGACCAGAUAGGUAUCUUGAGGGUUUUGUGAUUAACGUGGCUGCUGAAUGAACUAGGAACACAGGCGCUCACGCCCUCACUCUUGGGAAUGCAGACUCAUGAAUAAAGAUAUUCGUGCUUAAUUUAAACGUUGUUAU